AAACAGGUCACUGUCACCAGUGUGAUCCAGGGCCUGGCCCAGCCCUGGGCCCAGCCUGUCUUGAGUAACCCUGUCAGAGGCCAAGCUCCCUGUUUUGCUUGCGCAAUAGCCACUCCGGGGGCCAGAGGCCUGGCCUCAAGAGAACUUGAUGGGGGAAGCCUUGCGCCCAGAGGCUUUGCCCCUCACUGAGGGCACAAUCAAGCCCUCCAACCAGGCCCCUCCUCUACCAGGAGCCAGGGGAGAAGGAACCAGAGAUUACAUGGUGAGCAAGGAGGACAGCUGAGCUGGCAGGUGGGUGGCCUGGCCAUGCGGAGGGGAAAGCCAGGGAGGGAGGACGGCUGAGGUCUUCACAAGCCCCCACCUCCAAGAGGAGAUCCUGGAACCAGAAAACCACAGCAAAGUUGGACAUUGAACUGGCUGUGUGAAUGCCUGCAGAACUGGCCUGAGGCUGCUUGGUGCAUCCUGGCAGAGAGAGUCCAGGCCAGGAAUCUUCCAGGAGGACCCUGGAUCUGGUGCAGCCACCAAAGGAUGCUCCAAUUCUAUGUCCAACAGACAUGACCUGGCAUUAAAUUCCAACAGCUGUGCAUACCCCUGCAACUUCCUUCUCACUAGACACUGUAGGAAUGUAAAGACUUUGUGGUUUCUAUCCACACACACCUUCAGGCAAGCAGUCGAGAAGUCAACUGUCAAAUAGCCUGCUUUUCAAUUGUCCUUGGCCUGUCUGCUUCAAGCUCUCAUUCGGAUGCUCUGUGUUAGCAAGAAAAUUCAACCUAACCCUGCUCUUCAUGUUUUAUUCAUAUUGAACAGGUGCCCUCUCUGAGCUGAAAUUCCUCAUCUCUAAAAUACAGUUAACUACCUCAAAAGGUUGUUGGGAUGAUUAAGACCAGCAAAGCACCUAGCACAGGGUCCAGCAUGGAGAGGGUACCCAAUGCUUAUGUCCCCCCACACUUCUUCUUUCUUUCUUUCCAUUUCUCUUUCUUUCUUUCUUCUUCUUUCUUUCUUUUUCUUUUUCUUUCUUUCUUUCUUUCUUUCUUUCUUUCCUUCUCUCUCUCUCUCUUU
rnacentral:lncRNA from 1 species